rnacentral:tRNA from 1 species
AUUUAAGUAGUUUAAUUAAAAAUUUUGGUUUGUGGUACCGAUGUUGUAAAUUUAUUUACCUUAAAUC